rnacentral:rRNA from 1 species
GGGAAAUCUUACCGGGUCCGGACACACUGAGGAUUGACAGGCAAUAUUAUUUAAAUAAUAUGAAAUUCUUCGGAAUGGAUUUUAUUUUUAUAUGUAAAUAUGCUAGUCCUUUCAUGAUUAUGUGAUAGGUGGUGCAUGGCCGUUCUUAGUUCGUGGAGUGAUCUGUCUGCUUAAUUGCGUUUCACUAAGAGCUUAUCAAUUUACGUAUGUCUCGCUCGCAUAUUUUGACCCCCAAUUUUUUUCUUAACUUUGUUUUUUCGAACUUCGGUUUAUUAAACUAUGGUUAUUUAAGAAGUUGUGCGUGUUGUCAUUUAUGUAUCCAGCAGCAUACAAUUAAGCUCUGAAAGCAACGA